GGUCAAGAGCGUCAGCGACAAGCCCUGGCUUGCUGACCGGCAACCCUCGCGCCGCGGUGGGGUGCCCCAGGUGACGACCGGACCGGACGACGGAUUCGGUAAGCGCGAGAG
rnacentral:ncRNA from 1 species